rnacentral:rRNA from 1 species
GAUGAACGCUGGCGGCGUGCCUAAUACAUGCAAGUCGAGCGAACGGACGAGAAGCUUGCUUCUCUGAUGUUAGCGGCGGACGGGUGAGUAACACGUGGAUAACCUACCUAUAAGACUGGGAUAACUUCGGGAAACCGGAGCUAAUACCGGAUAAUAUUUUGAACCGCAUGGUCCAAAAGUGAAAGACGGUCUUGCUGUCACUUAUAGAUGGAUCCGCGCUGCAUUAGCUAGUUGGUAAGGUAACGGCUUACCAAGGCAACGAUGCAUAGCCGACCUGAGAGGGUGAUCGGCCACACUGGAACUGAGACACGGUCCAGACUCCUACGGGAGGCAGCAGUAGGGAAUCUUCCGCAAUGGGCGAAAGCCUGACGGAGCAACGCCGCGUGAGUGAUGAAGGUCUUCGGAUCGUAAAACUCUGUUAUUAGGGAAGAACAUAUGUGUAAGUAACUGUGCACAUCUUGACGGUAUCUAAUCAGAAAGCCACGGCUAACUACGUG